UACAGAGGUGGCAAGCGUUGUUCGGAAUCACUGGGCGUAAAGGGCGCGUAGGCGGCUUGUCACGUCGGAUGUGAAAGCCCGGGGCUUAACCCCGGGUCUGCAUUCGAUACGGGCAGGCUAGAGUGUGGUAGGGGAGAUCGGAAUUCCUGGUGUAGCGGUGAAAUGCGCAGAUAUCAGGAAGAACACCAAUGGCGAAGGCAGCUCUCUGGGACGGUACUGACGCUGAGACGCGAAAGCGUGGGGAGCGAACAGG
rnacentral:rRNA from 1 species